AUUGACUGUGGAUACCAGACACCUGGAAAUCUAGAGGAAAAAGGAGCAAGACACAGAGACAGAGAGAGACUCUAAGCUAUGGAGAUAACCCAGCAGUUAAACUGCUUGCCACACAAGCAAGAGGACCAGAAUCUUAGUUCAUUUGGAUCCCCUGAUGUAAUGCAAAGUAAAUGUCAGGACAGAGAUUGGAAGGAAGCAAAGAAGUUUUGGUUGGACUGCACAGAGUGCAAUCAAUGCGUUUUCCUGAAGGCACAGCUGCAAUGUGAUGGGUGACUUUUGAGUUUUCAAUGUCUGUCCCCGAACCAGUAACAAA